ensembl:misc_RNA Y_RNA Y RNA
GGCUGGUCUGAGUGCAAUGGUAUUUACAACUAAUUGAUCACAACCAGUUACAGAUUUCUUUGUUUCUUCUUCAUUCCCCCUGCUUUACUUGACCAGCCUUAA